GACGAACCGUGCGAACGUUGUUCGGAUUCACUGGGCUUAAAGGGCGCGUAGGCGGGCCAUCAAGUCUGUGGUGAAAGCCCCCGGCUUAACCGGGGAAGUGCCGUGGAUACUGGUGGUCUCGAGGGGUGCAGGGGCAUGUGGAACUUCCGGUGGAGCGGUGAAAUGCGUAGAUAUCGGAAGGAACGCCGGUGGCGAAAGCGACGUGCUGGACACCUACUGACGCUGAGGCGCGAAAGCCAGGGGAGCAAACGGG
rnacentral:rRNA from 1 species